UUUCCGUAGGUGAACCUGCGGAAGGAUCAUUAUUGUAUUACCCAUGCUCGAGGUCUUCCCCUCGCCCGGACGGUCGCUUAAGUCACAUUGCACCACCUCACAACUAUCACACGCCUGUGUACACCACCGCCCAAGUCCCCCUUUGCCCUUUUUGAACAGAGACUUACUUUUACACACGUACUUUGUUUGUAAUGUAGCAAAUCUUUCUACUUUUGAUGAUUUCGCUCUCGCUACAACUUUGAACAACGCAUCUCUUAGCUCUCGCCUCGUUGAAUAACG
rnacentral:misc_RNA from 1 species